UGCCUGCCCGUGAUUUAUUUAACGGCCGCGGUACCUAACCGUGCAAGGUAGAUAAUCAAUUGUCCCUUAAAUUAGGACUAGUAUGAACGGCAUCACGAGGGUUAAACUGUCUCCCCCCUUAAAUCAAUGAAAUUAAUUUUCCCGUGAAGAAGCGGGGAUAAAAUUAUAAGACGAAAAGACCCCAUGGAGCUUUAAGCUUAUUACCAUUUAUCUAAUUAUAUAACAAAUUAAUAGUAAAAGUGUUUAAUAGCUUUCGGUUGGGGCGACCCUGGAGAAAAAUAAAUCCUCCAGAUUGAAAAAAUAAUCCUUAUAUAAGAACUACAAUUCAAAUAAACAAAAACUUGACAAAACUGACCCAGAAUUAACUGAUCAGUGAACCAAGUUACCCUGGGGAUAACAGCGCAAUCCAUUUCAAGAGUCCAUAUCGACAAAUGGGUUUACGACCUCGAUGUUGGAUCGGGGUAUCCUAGCAGAGCAGCUGUUGCUAACGGUUCGUUUGUUCAACGAUUAACACCCCACGUGAUCU
rnacentral:rRNA from 1 species